GGAAACUAAAGCAGAGCUUUUCAAUGUUCGCCAGUCCCGUAACAUGAUCCCUCGCCACUUCUCUACCCCUUAGAUUUCCAUGAUGAGAACCCUCAACCUGUCUCAGCUUUUCCAUGGUCUGGAACCCGGCGAGGACACCACAAGACCCAACAACACGAAUGACAACUUACAACCAUCGGAGGAGCCCGACGUGUCCACCCGGAGGAUCUCCUUUCCUCCCUCAAUGAACACUCCACCAAAUAGUUUGGCAUCAGUGCGACAUCCUGCAGGAUCUCAUGCCGAAAGCAUGGGAGGGCCUUCCAAGGAGAAGGAAGUGAUACCUGAAGAAGGGAGCUUGGACUCAAUCCACCAACCACCUCAGGAAGGAGACAAGGAGCAGGUUCUGUCUCACAUAUUCGCAGAGGUAGAUCCCAACUAUCAGCCUGGGGAAACGAAGGAGGCAACAAUCCCCCAACAAGUACAAACACAGAGUGAGUCUGAGGAAGAGGCCUUCCGCAGAGCAGAGGAGAUAAGGAGAGGGUCGUUUCGCCCAUACGUGACGAGCCAGUCGC
rnacentral:lncRNA from 11 species